UUUGUAUUACGUGCGGAAAUGGUUACCAUUUUUGAGCCGAAAAUGGUAACAAUUUGCGCACGUAAUACAAA
rnacentral:miRNA from 1 species